GUCUUUCUGAAUAAUGGAAGGUCGUACCUGUUCACUGAAUAUUUAAGAACCGCGGUAUUUUGACCGUGCUAAGGUAGCAUAAUCAUUAGUUUCUUAAUUGGGAACUGGAAUGAAUGGUGUGACAAGACAAUAACUGUCUCUGGAUGAAUUAUUGAAUUUUACUUUUAAGUUAAAAGGCUUAGGUGUGAAUGGGGGACGAGAAGACCCUAUAGAUCUUUAUAAUGAGAAUUGAGUUAUGAAUAUAGAAGAUUAAUUUAUAAUUUAGUUAAUAUUAUUUAAUUGGGGUGAUUAGUGAAUAAUAUAACUUCAUUUCUGUGAACUUUGAUGAAUGAUUUUUUGAUCCUUUAUUAUGGAAUAAAGAUUAAGAUACCUUAGGGAUAACAGCGUUAUUUUAUUUGAGAGUUCUUAUCGACAAUAAAGAUUGCGACCUCGAUGUUGGAUUAAAAGUAUAGGUUGAUGUAGAGGUCAAUUAUAUUGGUCUGUUCGACCAUUAAAUUUUUACA
rnacentral:rRNA from 1 species